UUAAGCUAAUUAUUCUUGUUGGUCUGCUCUCUUCAUUUUAUUCCCUUAUUUUUCUUCUAAUUUCGACUCUUAUAAUUUGGCGGAACAAAUUUAGGGCUCUCUGAAUUUCAGCUGCAAAGGUAUCUAUUUGUCAACAUAGAUAAAACAGAUUUAGAUAGAUACAAAGUAUUCAAUAAUUCAUUUGCUGAACUUAUGAUCUUCAUUUUAUUUCAAUUGAUUCCUGCUCAGAUUUGGAGUCGGUUUGUGGGUUGAUUUAGAGUUGAUCUGUGGGUCAACAUCUAAAUUAGAAAACGGGGAGUGAAAAGAAAAAAGAUAGUUUUAGGAAUAGGAGAUGUGGGGUAUAACUAGAUUUUAUGAGAAAGUUUAUACGAUGGUAGAAGGAGGAUCUCAUUAUUGUUCUAAGAAGACGGAUGAUAUUUGUGGAGAUGCUUGCGAUGAGGUAAAGAUUCCAUUUUUAUAUACACAUUAUGUGACGCCCCAAAAUUAGGUAUACAUUACCCAUUUUGAGUCAUCAGAUAUAUG
rnacentral:lncRNA from 1 species